rnacentral:rRNA from 1 species
GAUCAAGCUAUAAAGAGCGUGUGGUGGAUGCCUUGGCACUUGGCGCCGACGAAGGACGUGAUAAGCUGCGAAAAGCUACGGGGAGCUGCAAAUGAGCUAUGAGCCGUAGAUGUCCGAAUGCGGAAACGCACAACGAGUAAUUUCGUUGUAUCAUUACAUGAAUAAAAUAAUGUAAUGAGGGGAACCCGGAGAACUGAACCAUCUAAGUAUCCGGAGGAAAAGAAAGUAAAUUAACGAUUACCUAAGUAGUGGUGAGCGAACGGGUAAGAGCCCAAACCGGGGGUAGCAAUAUCUCCGGGGUUAGGACCCCAUAAGGCAUGGGAUGUUAGUAGUAGAAGACUGCUGGAAAGCAGCACGAAACAGGGUAAUAGUCCCGUAAACGAAACUAGCAGACCGCUGGGGGUAUCCAGAGUAACACAGGACACGAGAAAUCCGGUGUGAAGACAGGAGGACCAUCUCCUAAGGCUAAAUACGACCAAGUGACCGAUAGUGUAUAGUACCGUGAGGGAAAGGUGAAAAGAACCCCGGGAGGGGAGUGAAAUAGAAUCUGAAACCGCAUGCUUACAAGCGGCGAGAGCACUACUAUAUAGUGUGAUCGCGUACUUUUUGUAUAACGGGCCGGCGAGUUAUGGUAUGUAGCAAGGUUAAGCAACUAUGUUGCGGAGCCGCAGCGAAAGCGAGUCUGAAUAGGGCGAAUUAGUUGCAUGCUGUAGACCCGAAACCCAGUGAUCUAUCCAUGAGCAGGAUGAAGCGAUGGUAACACAUCGUGGAGGUCCGAACACACGUCUGUUGAAAAAUACGGUGAUGACUUGUGGAUAGCGGAGAAAUUCCAAUCGAACUGGGAUAUAGCUGGUUCUCCUCGAAAUAGCUUUAGGGCUAGCCUCUAUGUAAAGAUAGUUGGGGGUAGAGCACUGAAUGGGCUAGGGGGCUUCGCGGCCUACCGAACCUUAUCAAACUCCGAAUACCAACGUAUUGAUAAUAGGGAGUCAGGCAGCGUGAGAUAAGUUUCGUUGCCACAAGGGAAACAACCCAGAUCUACAACUAAGGUCCCAAAGUGCAAGUUAAGUGGUAAAGGAUGUCUUAUUGCUAAAACAACCAGGAUGUUGGCUCAGAAGCAGCCAUUCAUUUAAAGAGUGCGUAAUAGCUCACUGGUCGAGUGAUAGGGCGCCGAAGAUUCACGGGGCUAAAACUUGCCACCGAAGUUUAGGGAUGCUGUAAUAGGCAUCGGUAGAGGAGCAAUGUAUGUGGGCUGAAGCCGUAUCGAAAGGGGCGGUGGACUGCAUACAAGAGAGAAUGCCGGUAUAAGUAGCGAGAGUGAGGCGAGAAUCCUCACCAUCGAAAGUCUAAGGUUUUCUGGGGAAGGCUUGUCCUCCCAGAGUAAGUCGGGAACUAAGCCGAGGGCGAAAGCCGUAGGUGAUGUCCAACAGGUAGAUAUUCCUGUACUACCGAAACACGACAAAGAGUCGAGGCAGGGACGCAGUAGGAUAGUCGGACCACGCGGAUGGAAAUGCGUGGCUAAAUCAUGAGGGGAACAAAUAGUGAAGUACGUUUGUUAUCAAAGCCCUGGGUGAUGAUAGGGAGUGAAAUUUAGUAACGAAGCCGAUGAAUUCACACUGACGAGAAAAGCUGCUAGAUAGUGUUUAGGUACCCGUACCGCAAACCGCCACAGGUAGACGAUGAGAGAAUCAUAAGAUGAGCGGGAUAACCCUUGUUAAGGAACUCGGCAAAAUGACCUCGUAACUUCGGGAGAAGAGGUGCCAACUUAAGUGUUGGCCGCAGAGAAUCGGCCCAAGCGACUGUUUACCAAAAACACAGGUUUCUGCUAAAGCGUAAGCUGAAGUAUAGGAGCUGAUGCCUGCCCGGUGCUGGAAGGUUAAGGGGAAGUGUUAGGAGCAAUCCGAAGCAUAGAACUUAAGCCCCAGUGAACGGCGGCCGUAACUAUAACGGUCCUAAGGUAGCGAAAUUCCUUGUCGGGUAAGUUCCGACCCGCAUGAAUGGCAUAACGAUUUGGGCGCUGUCUCAACAAGGGGCCCGGCGAAAUUGUAGUAUGCGUGAUAAUACGUAUUACCCGCGACUGGACGGAAAGACCCCAUAGAGCUUUACUGUAAUUUGAUAUUGGAUUUCGAACUUUGAUGCACAGGAUAGGUGGGAGGCUUUGAAGCGAGUACUUUGGUAUUCGUGGAGCCAUCCUUGGGAUACCACCCUUCAAAUUUUGAGAUUCUAACCCUGAUUCCGUAAUCCGGACAGGGGACAGUGUCUGAUGGACAGUUUGACUGGGGCGGUCGCCUCCUAAAAAGUAACGGAGGCGUUCAAAGGUUCGCUCAGAAUGGUUGGAAACCAUUUUUAGAGUAUAAAGGCAUAAGCGGGCUUAACUGCGACACCUACAAGUGGAGCAGAUACGAAAGUAGGACUUAGUGAUCCGGCGGUAGAGUAUGGAAUUGCCGUCGCUUAACGGAUAAAAGUUACCUUGGGGAUAACAGGCUGAUCCCUCCCAAGAGUUCACAUCGACGGAGGGGUUUGGCACCUCGAUGUCGGCUCGUCACAUCCUGGGGCUGUAGUAGGUCCCAAGGGUUCGGCUGUUCGCCGAUUAAAGUGGCACAUGAGCUGGGUUCAAAACGUCGUGAGACAGUUUGGUCCCUAUCCAUCGUGGGCGUAGGAUAUUUGAGUGGAGCUGCUCCUAGUACGAGAGGACCGGAGUGGACGUACCUAUUGUGCAUCAGUUGUCUCGCCAGAGGCAUUGCUGGGUAGCGAAGUACGGAAAGGAUAAAUGCUGAAAGCAUCUAAGCGUGAAACCUGCCACAAGAUUAGAUAUCCCAUGACAUAAGUCAGUAAGACCCCUUGUAGACUACAAGGUUGAUAGGUCGGAGGUGGAAGUGCAGUAAUGCAUGCAGCUGACCGAUACUAAUAGGUCGAGGGCUUGAUCAG